GUGUCAGCCGCCGCGGUAAUACGUAGGGGGCAAGCGUUGUCCGGAUUUAUUGGGCGUAAAGAGCGUGUAGGCGGCCAGAUAGGUCUGUUGUGAAAACUCGAGGCUCAACCUCGAGACGCCGAUGGAAACCAUUUGGCUAGAGUCCGGAAGAGGAGAGUGGAAUUCCUGGUGUAGCGGUGAAAUGCGCAGAUAUCAGGAAGAACACCCGUGGCUAAGGCGGCUCUCUAGUACGGUACUGACGCUGAGACGCGAAAGCGUGGGGAGCGAACAGGAUUAGAUACCCCGGUAGUCC
rnacentral:rRNA from 1 species